rnacentral:tRNA from 1 species
GGGAUUGUGACUUAGUGGUAGAGCGCUUGUCUAGCACGCAUGAAGCCUUGGGUUUAAAUCCUCAAUGCCA